rnacentral:rRNA from 1 species
GUAACGGGGAGUCAGGGUUCGAUUCCGGAGAGUGAGCCUGAGAAACGGCUACCACAUCCAAGGAAGGCAGCAGGCGCGCAAAUUACCCACUCCCGGCACGGGGAGGUAGUGACGAAAAAUAACGAUACGGAACUCAUACGAGGCUCCGUAAUCGGAAUGAGUACACUUUAAAUCCUUUAACGAGGAUCUAUUGGAGGGCAAGUCUGGUGCCAGCAGCCGCGGUAAUUCCAGCUCCAAUCGUAUAUUAAAGUUGUUGCGGUUAAAAAGCUCGUAGUUGGAUCUCGGUUUCACUCAGGUGGUACACCUUGCGGUGUUCACUAUCUGGGUGGACGUUUCUGUUGGUUCGCUCUUGGUGCUCUUCAUCGGGUGCCAUUUGGUGGCCAGCACGUUUACUUUGAAAAAAUUGGAGUGCUCAAAGCAGGCGUUACAGCCUGAACAUUAGUGCAUGGAAUAAUGGAAUAGGAUCUCGAUUCUAUUUCGUUGGCUUUCGGAGUCGAGGUAAUGAUUAAUAGGGACAGACGGGGGCAUUCGUACUGCGACGUUAGAGGUGAAAUUCUUGGAUCGUCGCAAGACGAACUACUGCGAAAGCAUUUGCCAAGAAUGUUUUCAUUAAUCAAGAACGAAAGUUAGAGGUUCGAAGGCGAUCAGAUACCGCCCUAGUUCUAACCAUAAACGAUGCCAACCGGCGAUCCGUCGUCGUUAAUUGAAUGACUCGACGGGCAGCCUCCGGGAAACCAGAGUGUUUGGGUUCCGGGGGAAGUAUGGUUGCAAAGCUGAAACUUAAAGGAAUUGACGGAAGGGCACCACCAGGAGUGGAGCCUGCGGCUUAAUUUGACCCAACACGGGAAAUCUCACCAGGCCCGGACACCGGAAGGAUUGACAGAUUGAGAGCUCUUUCUUGAUUCGGUGGGUGGUGGUGCAUGGCCGUUCUUAGUUGGUGGAGCGAUUUGUCUGGUUAAUUCCGAUAACGAACGAGACUCUGGCCUACUAACUAGAAGGUCUAUCCUUUAUGGGUAGGCCUCUGCUUCUUAGAGGGACGGGCGGCGUUUAGCCGCACGAGAAUGAGCAAUAACAGGUCUGUGAUGCCCUUAGAUGUUCUGGGCUGCACGCGCGCUACACUGAAGGAAUCAGCAUGUUCUCCCCUCCCUGAAAUGGGCGGGUAACCCGUUGAAACUCCUUCGUGAUGGGGAUUGGAGAUUGUAAUUAUUCUCCAUGAACGAGGAAUUCCCAGUAGGCGCGAGUCAUCAGCUUGCGUCGAUUACGUCCCUGCCCUUUGUACACACCGCCCGUCGCUACUACCGAUCGAGUGAUUUAGUGAGGACUUCGGACUGGUCUUCAAGUUGGCUUCGGUCGGCUCGAAGUUCCGGAAAGAUGCCCAAACUUGAUCACUUAGAGGAAGUAAAAGUCGCAACAAGGUU